GACGAACGCUGGCGGCGUGCUUAACACAUGCAAGUCGAACGGAAAGGCCCUGCUUUUGUGGGGUGCUCGAGUGGCGAACGGGUGAGUAACACGUGAGUAACCUGCCCUUGACUUUGGGAUAACUUCAGGAAACUGGGGCUAAUACCGGAUAGGAGCUCCUGCUUCAUGGUGGGGGUUGGAAAGUUUCGGCGGUUGGGGAUGGACUCGCGGCUUAUCAGCUUGUUGGUGGGGUAGUGGCUUACCAAGGCUUUGACGGGUAGCCGGCCUGAGAGGGUGACCGGCCCCAUUGGGACUGAGAUACGGCCCAGACUCCUACGGGAGGCAGCAGUGGGGAAUAUUGCACAAUGGGCGGAAGCCUGAUGCAGCAACGCCGCGUGCGGGAUGACGGCCUUCGGGUUGUAAACCGCUUUCGCCUGUGACGAAGCGUGAGUGACGGUAAUGGGUAAAGAAGCACCGGCUAACUACGUG
rnacentral:rRNA from 1 species